UAUAUAUAUGUUAUUUACCGGCUGCGAGGUCCGGAUGAGAAAAACUGUGCCCGAGGUCUUGAAAACGGCCCGAGCCCGAAGGGCGAGGUACGUUUUCAAGACCGAGGGCACAGUUUUUCUCAUCCGGACCGACGCUGCCGGUAAAUAACGUGUUUAUU